UAAUUACCCUCCUUAAUAAUGGUUAAUAAAGUGUAACCCUCUUUAAAUUUAGAGGAGGUUUUAAUAGUAAUGUGUUGAGAUAAUGCUAUGUUAGGUGAAAAUUCUAAAGUUGAUAGUGAAAAGAAAGAAAAAAAACUCAGUUGGUCUAUCGUGUUUGCGUGGCUGUAUCUGCAUACAUUUGGCAAGAUAUUACCAAAAAAGUGGAACAAGUGGGCAGAGAAUAUUGUUGAACCUUAUGAAGUUACUAAUAGUGAUGACAUAACAGAAUCUGGAGGUGAUCAGGAUGUUACCUUGGAUUCAGAAUCACAGACAAAAAUCAAGGCAGAAGUUAUUAAUAGUAACGAGGUAAGACAACCUGGGGAUGGUCAGAGUUUUAGCUUGGAUCCACAAUUGCAAACAGAAACCGAUGUAGAAAUUACUAAUAGUGAUAACCCUGAAGGUGAUGAGGUAAAAAUAGGUGAUAGCCGUGACUCUGGUAUAAAUGAGGAUGAGGAUGAGCUUCGUUAUGAGGAUGAUUUUAACAUUCAGUUGUUACUAAAACAAAUCACUCAAGGGCUAGAAGAAGAGGUAGCACAAUUAGAAUUAGAAAUAGAACUCGAAAUUUUAAAAGAAGCUUUUAGUGAUGCAGCACAAGAAGUGAUAGCAUUAAGAGAAGAGAACGAGCAACUUAAGCAUAAUCUCGCAAAAAUCAAUGAAUUAGAUACUCGAAAUACAACAGAAGGUACACUAGAACAACCUAGUACUUCUAUGACGAAUAUUGAAAAAAAUAGUCAUCGUGCAAACUUACUUCAGAGUUUUAG